rnacentral:rRNA from 1 species
ACGUGGGCAACCUGCCUCAUAGAGGGGAAUACCCUUCCGAAAGGGAGAUUAAUACCGCAUAAGAUUGUAGCUUCGCAUGAAGUAGCAAUUAAAGGAGCAAUCCGCUAUGAGAUGGGCCCGCGGCGCAUUAGCUAGUUGGUGAGGUAACGGCUCACCAAGGCGACGAUGCGUAGCCGACCUGAGAGGGUGAUUGGCCACAUUGGGACUGAGACACGGCCCAGACUCCUACGGGAGGCAGCAGUGGGGAAUAUUGCACAAUGGGGGAAACCCUGAUGCAGCAAUGCCGCGUGAGUGAUGACGGCCUUCGGGUUGUAAAGCUCUGUCUUCGUUUUUGAUAAUGACGGUACCCGAGGAGGAAGCCACGGCUAACUACGUGCCAGCAGCCGCGGUAAUACGUAGGUGGCAAGCGUUGUCCGGAUUUACUGGGCGUAAAGGGAGCGUAGGCGGAUUUUUAAGUGAGAUGUGAAAUACCCGGGCUUAACUUGGGUGCUGCAUUUCAAACUGGAAGUCUAGAGUGCAGGAGAGGAGAAGGGAAUUCCUAGUGUAGCGGUGAAAUGCGUAGAGAUUAGGAAGAACACCAGUGGCGAAGGCGCUUCUCUGGACUGUAACUGACGCUGAGGCUCGAAAGCGUGGGGAGCAAGCAGGAUUAGAUACCCUGGUAGUCCACGCCGUANACGAUGAAUACUAGGUGUAGGGGUUGUCAUGACCUCUGUG